UACAGAGGUGGCAAGCGUUGUUCGGAAUUACUGGGCGUAAAGGGCGCGUAGGCGGUCUUGUAAGUCUCGUGUGAAAUCCCUCGGCUUAACUGAGGAACUGCACGGGGAUACUGCAUGACUUGAGAUCGGGAGAGGGAAGCGGAAUUCCGGGUGUAGCGGUGAAAUGCGUAGAUAUCCGGAGGAACACCGGUGGCGAAGGCGGCUUCCUGGACCGACACUGACGCUGAGGCGCGAAAGCUAGGGGAGCAAACGGG
rnacentral:rRNA from 1 species